UACGAAUGGGGCUAGCGUUGCUCGGAAUUACUGGGCGUAAAGCGCACGUAGGCGGUCUUUUAAGUCGGUGGUGAAAUCCUGGAGCUCAACUCCAGAACUGCCUUCGAUACUGGAAGACUUGAGUCCGGGAGAGGUGAGUGGAACUGCGAGUGUAGAGGUGAAAUUCGUAGAUAUUCGCAAGAACACCAGUGGCGAAGGCGGCUCACUGGCCCGGUACUGACGCUGAGGUGCGAAAGCGUGGGGAGCAAACAGG
rnacentral:rRNA from 1 species